UACGGAGGUGGCGAGCGUUGUCCGAAGUUACUGGGCGUAAAGCGCGCGCAGGCGGCACUCUAAGUACGCUGUGAAAUAUCCCGGCUCAACCGGGAGGGUGCAGUGUAGACUAGGGAGCUAGAGGUCGGUAGAGGGGGGUGGAAUUGCUGGUGUAGCGGUGAAAUGCGUAGAUAUCAGGAGGAACACCUGUGGCGAAAGCGGCUCACUGGACCAUAACUGACGCUGAUGCACGAAAGCUAGGGGAGCAAACAGG
rnacentral:rRNA from 1 species